rnacentral:rRNA from 1 species
GACGAACGCUGGCGGCGUGCUUAACACAUGCAAGUCGAACGAAGUGGCGAACGGGUGAGUAACGCGUAAUCAACCUGCCCUUCCGAGGGGGACAACAGUUGGAAACGACUGCUACUACCGCAUACUGAAGAAGGGGAUUGCGUCUGAUUAGCUAGUUGGGGGGGUAACGGCCCACCAAGGCGAUGAGCAGUAGCCGGUCUGGGAGGAUGAACGGCCAAAUUGGGACUGGGACACGGCCCAGACUCCUACGGGAGGCAGCAGUGGGGAAUCUUCCGGCAUGGACGAAAGUCUGACGGAGCAACGCCGCGUGAGUGAGGACGGCCUUCGGGUUGUAAAGCUCUGUUAAUCGGGACGCGGUACCGGAAUAGAAAGCCACGGCUAACUACGUGCCAGCAGCCGCGGUAAUUC